rnacentral:rRNA from 1 species
GGCGUAGGUGGUCCAGUAAGUCGGAUGUAAAAUCUCCCGGCUCAACUGGGAGGGACCAUUCGAUACUGCUGGGCUGGAGGAUAGCAGAGGGAAGUGGAAUUCCCGGUGUAGUGGUGAUAUGCGUAGAUAUCGGGAGGAACACCAGUGGCGAAGGCGGCUUCCUGGGCUAUUUCUGACGCUGAGGCCCAAAAGCGUGGGGAGCGAACA